rnacentral:rRNA from 1 species
UACGGGGGGGGUAAGCGUUGUUCGGAAUUACUGGGCGUAAAGGGCGCGUAGGCGGCCUUCUAAGUCGAACGUGAAAUCCCCGGGCUCAACCCGGGAACUGCGUCCGAUACUGGAAGGCUUGAAUCCGGGAGAGGGAUGUGGAAUUCCAGGUGUAGCGGUGAAAUGCGUAGAUAUCUGGAGGAACACCGGUGGCGAAGGCGACAUCCUGGACCGGUAUUGACGCUGAGGCGCGAAAGCCAGGGGAGCAAACGGG